AGUUUAAUAACAGAUAAAAUUUAGACCUUGUUUUGGUGAGCCAUAAUGAACAAAACAAUUGAACUACUACAUAAGAGCUUGAAGACUGUUGCAUGUAUAUCCAAAGGUUUAUAUUUUGAGUCACGCCGAACAGGCUAUAGACCAUAGACACAAUUCCAACAGCGCAAUUAUACAAUAAUCUGUCAGAUCGCUUGGAGUUGGUGGUCAAGAAAAGUUGUCUGAUGACCGGCACACGACACUGAUAAUUUCUUUCUUGUUUCUUAAAGCUUCUCCUAGAGUCUUCUUCAUAAGCUUUGAAUGACUCGUAUAAGGCUGCUGCAUUAGAUAACUUUUGGCCUUUCUUUUCCCAUUUUGGAAACAAUAUGCAAACAAAAAUCAGAAGUAUAAGGCUGAGUUGUAGACUGUUCACUUACCAAACUAUUAUUUGCCAAGGGCCCAAGCUCUAUAUUUCAGAAUCACAAUUCCAAACAUUGUAAGAGAAACACAAAACUGAUCAAAACUUGAUGCUAAUUCACUUUUCAUGCAAGGACCAGAAAUUGUUGAACAAAACUUCUAGAAACUACAAAUAUGAGAUCUUACAAAUUCAUUAAGUGGAACCAGAUUAUCACAAAGAUAUUACUUCGACCUAUCAUUCUCUACAUUUAAAUUGAAGCUGAGAUUCAAAAAAUAGUAUUUAUGUGAUUAGGGACGCAUGAACUUGCGUGUGAUGAGGAUGGGGUGGAUACCAGAAAUGUUGUACACUUACGCAGACAACAUGGAGAUUGAAGACAACAUGGAGAUUGAAAUGAACACUACAUUAACCAUGAUUUUUUCUCCAACCUGAGAUUUUGCAAAAAAAAAAAUAUAGACCAUUGAGACAGAUAUUUCACAAUUUGCAUAGAUAAAUAAAGUACAUGCUACACUAUGCCUAGCAAAAAACGUCAGUGUAGCAGGGUAGCAGACCAGUACAAACAUUACAAUAUGAACCUAAAUGUGACUCUUGCACACACCCAAUUGGCGUACCACUCUAAAUCCAUCCUAGUGACCGAAUGAGGACCCUAACAAAACAACAUUGGCUACUUUAAGAAGACAAUAUCAGUAGAAAACAGUGUAUGGUCAUAAAACCAAUUGUAGAUCUAAAACACCAAUGCGCGAGUACGAGAAUUUGAGUUGCGAGAGUUACUGAAAAGAUCAUAAAAGGAAACUCAAACUCGCCAAACCUUAGAGCUCGCUAUGAUGCGUAGAGGUCCUUGAAACACAGCCUAAAUGAUCUCUGCAACAUUCCAGAUGCAUGUCAUCUUUAAACACAUGAGCUUUCAAGUUUAUAUAUUCUAUCUCAAAAUCUCACAAUCUCUAGAGAAUUGUAGUGAGGUUAAUCCAGGCUACAAAAUACCAAUAAUCAUGUACAACCAUGUCAUGAUUGUUUUAUGGUAGCAAGAAAGUGAAACUCACAAUAUUUAAUUCAAAUUCACUGCAACUCUAAAAUAGAUGUUGCAGACAUGAGAAUGAACUCUAAAAAUGGAUGUUGCAGACCUGAGAACGAACUCUAAAAAACUCAUGAUUUUGCUCUGCCUAACGUUUCUCUCCAGUCUAGAUAAAAAGGCCAUGGAUAGAACUGAUAUUUUUUUUCUUUGUUACAGGUUGACAACAGAGUUUUAACUUUAUUGAUCAACUAAAAAAUACACACAACAACCUAACAAAUUGAUGGCGUAGCAUAUGUUCUCCCCAAAGUGCAGUAAGGACAGGACAACUUGAACUAUUAUCUCCCUGUAACAACCAUUCUACCAAAGUGACAUGUCCUCUCCCUAUAAAUGGUUGAACUUGAUGACUUUUAGGCCUCUACUUAUAUUAUUUUUGUUUGCUUGACAGUAGGAAAUCCCACCUAAACAAUUUCAUACCAUUAAGGAACAACCUCUACUAAGAGGUCUUCCUAUAUUUCAUACAGUCAGACAGUAGAAAAAUCCAUGCUAUGUUGAAACUGUACCAAUUUUAAGUUAAAACUCUCUCUAUAUUUGCCUUCUCUACCAUAGUCUAACCAUACCAUCUAACUAAAUGACAGGAAAAAAUUGACAGGUGAUGAAAUCAAACAAAACAACCAAAAAAAACUGACAGCAGUACCAUACCAAUGGCUGUUAUGCAUGGUGACCAAAACAUUAGUACCAAGUUACAAAAGGACAUCCCACCUGAACAAUUCAUACCAUUAAGGAACAACCUGUACUAAGAGGUCUUCCUAUAUUUCAUACAGUCAGACAUUAGGAAAAUCCUUGCUAUAUUUAAACUGUACCCGUUUUAACUUUUAAGUUAGAACUCUCUCUAUAUUUGCCUUCUCUACCAUAGUCUAACCAUACCAUCCAACUAAAUGAUAGGAAAAACUAACAUUGAUGAAAUCAAACAAAACAACAACAAAAAACUAACAGCAGUACCAAUGGCGGAUGGGGAUUCUGCUUUCAUACAGUCAGACAUUAGGAAAAUCCUUGCUCUGUUUAAACUCUACCAGUUUUAAGUUAGAACUCUCUCUAUAUUUUCCUUCUCUACCAUAGUCUAACCAUACCAUCCAACUAAAUGACAGGAAAAAACUGAUAGUGAUGAAAUCAAACAAAACUGACAGGGAUGAAAGCAAACAAAAGAACCAAAAAAAACUGACAGCAGUACCAAUGGCUUAUGGGGAUUCUGUUAGGGCAUAUAAAUUAACAGGCCGGAUGGGGAUUGGAGAUAUACCAGGAUGGGGAUUGGAGAGCCACUUGUUGGAUUGGAGGGCGCCGCCGCCGAGGAUUGGGAUUGGGGUGGCAGCGAAUAUCUGUCUUGGGUGCGAUGGGGAUUGGGGUGGCAUGGUCUUUAAGGAACACCAUCAUCUGUGUAGAUGGGAGGUUGGCGUCGAUUUGGGGCGAGGAUGUUGGAUGAUUGAUUCUCGCGGAUGGCUCGGGUGGCUUGGAUUAUGAGAUUUU
rnacentral:lncRNA from 1 species